CUCCUCCUCCUUCCUCCCCACCCCUCCUCGCUCCCUCUCUCCUCCCUCUUUCCUCUUUUUCUCUCUCUCGCUCUCUCUCUCUUUGCCGGCCUCAUCGGAGAGAGUUGCAGUUCCUUCUGGGCCCGUGUGGACUAAGGGCACAAUCCAUCGUCUGACUGUCAGGAGGGGAAAGCGGAGACUCCUUCAGGUUUCCAAAGAGGUCCGAGUGGACAGCAUUAGGAAAACUUGAAGAGUCUUACACUUUUCAUCCUCCAGUCAUUGAUUUUUCUGUGUGGACACUGUGGUGAGGUGGUGUGAGCAAAAGGCACCUGCUUUCCUGCCCAUUUAAAGUCUAGACAUUGAAUUUGAUGGACAGAAUGUUGGCACCCACUGCAGAAGAGCUGAACAGCCUCAACACCAAAUCUCUGUCCUGAGAUACAGCAACAGGAUGUGCCUUGGAGAAGAAUCUCAGGAUAGAAUAUUUUUGAUCCAGUUCCAAAUCCGCAAGCUCAGGCAGGUGAAAUUGAGAGAGAGAUUUAUGCAUAUUCCCCACCCAGUCCAAUGUACUGCUUAAAUGAAAAUUAGCCUGAACUUUCGGGAGUACCCAAGGAUUCUGAAGGUUCUGUUGGUCUGCAAGUAAGCUGGGGCAUACAAGGAGUUGGAAUUCACAGUUGAGCAAGAGCGGAGAAUUCUGCCAGUGUUUUCGACAGGAAAUUUCAGAGGUAAGGAAUUUGGUGGACAGAGGAUAAAUCUACAAAGAUUCAAAGAAAGAAGGGUUAUCAUCCCGAUAAUGUAAAAACUACCAACAAGAGAGGAAGACUUAUUCACUCUUUUUAAGGCCUUGUAUUUGUUCUGGAUAAAAAAGGCAUGGCACCUCUUUAACUGAAGAAGGGAAUAGUUACAGAUGCUUUGGUGGUGGUGGUGGUGGUGGUUCUUCCUAAUCUUUUCUGAAAGUCUGGUUCAAAAUCAAUACUAAGGAAAAAAUGUGCUUCGUACUGGAUACACACAUUUAAUUUUAGGUAUGAACUUUAGCUCCACUCAGUAGCUGGCCUUUAAAGGGCAAGAUAAAUACCCAUACAUGAAAAAUGAUGCAUUUGUAUUCUUUUUAAACAAACAGAAUUACGUGUUUUUAAACUCAAAGGUCAUCUCUCUUGCAGUCUUUCAACUGUUCUACCCAUGGUUCUAUCAAAAAAAGAGAGUUAUAUCCCAUUAUUUAUUUUUUUUCUAGAUCCAGUAAAUUUCUGAUCCUUUAACUAGUAGAUACAUCAUUAAGAGCAUAUGAAUUGUGCUGUUUAAUUUUCCUGCAAUUGCCAAUGUAAAAAACUUAGAGAAGAAAUGAUUAUAUGUUGACUGAAAAUGAAGUUAAUGUUCUAUAAAUGGUUGGAGAAGAUAUUUUGUUUAAACUUUUUUUUUUUUACCUUGUGGAUAACACUUAUUUUUUCUCACAAAUUGGAUUUUAUAAUCUUUUCAAGACAGAAAAAUUAAUACAACAAAUUCAUUAGAAUCAGAGCUUAUUCCAAGUAUGGUCUUCUUGUACUCAUUGAGUCAUUCCCAUGUGUUCUAAAACCUAUCACAUUUUUCUAUAUCUUUUUCAUAUUCCUAGUAUAUCCAUUAAGACUGGAGAAUUCUUCACUUAAACAAAACACAAAGAAUGUGUCCUAGACUCUGAAAGACUUCCAUUGUCUAAAUAAAGAGAGGGAAUAGAAAUGACAAUAUUAGGUCCCCAUAGCAUAGCUAUUCUGGUCUGAGGUCUUCUGUUCCAGACUUCUAUAAUGUGUAAACUCCCUGGAGAAAGUUUAGUAAAAAGAACAUAAGGUUUUCUAAUUGCAUUAUUCAAAGGAAAACUUCAGUGUUUGGAUCACAUAAUCAUUAGGAUUAGAAAAGACUUCCAAGAUCAUCUGGUCCAACCAUCCCCCUACCACUGAUAUCACCCACUAAACCAUGUCCCUAAGCGCCACACACAAUCUUUCCUUAAACAGCACCAGGGACAGUGGCUCCACCACUUCCCUUGGCAACUUGUUCCAAUAUCUGACUACUAUUUAUGAGAAGGAAUGUCUCCUAAUUUCCAACCUGAAACUUUGUUUUCUUUCUGCUAAGGUUUGGAAAGGAAAAUAGGAUGUGCAACACAGAAUUUAAACACUUUUUUCCAAAUCCAGCUUCCUCAAACAGGUGAAAAUGGUUAAAAUACUUUUUCAGCAGAAGAGUGGUCUAACUUUGGUCCUUUAUUUGUAUCAGUCAAUAUGUACACUGUACAUAAAUAAUACUAUUGAGUAAUACUUUAUUAUUAUUUUUUUUUAGUGGGGAAAGCACAAAACAACUAAAAACAAUAACAGCUAAGAAAUAUUAAUAUUAAUCCUUUAUAUUAAUACUGAUGCUUGUAGAAAACAUUUCCAUCAUAGCUUUGUUAAUCUCAAAUUAACUUUUUAAUGAGGGAUGAAAGAAAGGGAAGAAAUUAUCUCUAGUGUGUUUGCUUAGCCUCCUGAAUUUGUUGUUUACACAUAUUACAAUAUGAUAAUACAGAGAGAUUAAUGGUUCUUUUUUUCCUACUGGUAAAUAUUAUUAAAAUAUAUCUGAGGAUAAACUCUGUAGGUUUAAGAGUGGAGGAAAAAUAUAUGCUAUUUCCUGAUGCUAAUAACACUGUUGGAACACUUCUUCCACAAGACCCAAAUUAUUUACCAUAGAAAGAAAAUAAAAAGAAAGAAAGAAAGAAAGAAAGAAAGAAAGAAAGAAAGAAAGAAAGAAAGAAAGAAAGAAAGAAAGAAAGAAAGAAAGAAAGAAAGAAAGAAAGAAAGAAAGAAAGAAAGAAAGAAAGAAAGAAAGAAAGAAAGAAAGAAAGAAAGAAAGAAAGAAAGAAAGAAAGAAAAUAAGCUGUAAUAAACUACUAAUCAGAGGUACAGAGGUACAUUUUCAACAAUACUUUGAAGUUUCAUCAUACAUAUUCUUCUUUAGUUAUUAUUGUCAUAAUAAGCGGAUAAAGAUUAAAAAAAUAAAAUAAAAUAAAAACAACAAAACCACCACAAACCUAAUAUAGUGUUCACCAUGAAAUUAUGUCAUUUCUUACUAUCCAUUAUUGUUUGUAAGAACAAUAGUUCAUUUCUUUUUGGAAUUUAUAUCAGUAUAUACAAAUCAUAUAUAGAAUAUCAUCCCUAAUUGAAUGUUUGUUAUUUUCAUUACUUGUACUCAAUGAUUCUGAAUUAUUUUGUUGUAUUGGAAGACAACUAGAGAAACUGAAAUAGAGCUCGGAAGUCUGAGCACAUUUCUGUCCCAGUGCUGCUCUUUAUAGGUAUCUGUUUAAAACCUAUUUCAGACCCUUGUCCUUCUCAGUCUAUAUUGUUACAGGUUUACAGGCAUUCCCUGAAAGUUUCAGAGACUUGGCACCAUGGCACCUUCACGUCAAUUGUACUACUAUACUGAAUACAAGUGAUCACACAGUACAAGAGCACCAUUAAAAUAAACAGUAAGAUGAGUUUGAAUUAAGAGGAGAUGAAAUUGAACUUGGGUUAAAAAUGCGAUGUUUUAGAUUGAUUAUUAAAAUCCAUUCUCAACAGUGCACAUUUUCUGUUCUAAAAUUAUUUAUUGGUGGUGUUUUACUCAACAGCUUGUGGUGGUUUUACUCGGGUGGGUGGCUGAACUCCACCACAACCACUCUCUCACUCCCCGUCCUCAAAGAUGAACAGGAACUAAACACGAUGAGAAGGGCUCAAGGGUUGAUAAUAAGGAUAAGGAGAUGGCAUAGGAAUUAUUGUGACAGGCCAAACAGACUCAGCAUAGGGAGAUGGUAAGAUUUAUUACCUAUUGCUAACUCCUCCUCCCAAGUGGCACAGGGGAAUGGGGGAAUGGGGGUUAUGGUCAGUCUAUAGGACUUCUUCUCCAUCACUCCUUGAUCACUCUCAUCCCCUGUGCUGUGGGGUCUCUCCCACAGGAUGCAGUCCUUCCUGAACUGAUCCAGCAUGGGCUUCCCACAGGUAGCAGCUCUUCAAGAACUA